UUUAAAAAAUAAAUAAAUAACUCGUAACCGCUUGGAACUGUCAGAACCGCGGUUCCGAAACCGCCAAAAUCGGAAUCAAGCGAUUCCGAAACCGUAUGGUAGCAGUUCCGGCUCCAGAACCGCCAAAACCAAAACCGAAAUCGCCAGAACCGAAACCGGAUACAACCUUAGUCGAAGUUACUUCUAAAAAAAAUAGGUCACAGCAGAGUGAAAAAGCGCACAAAAAAAAAAUUUGCGUCAAUUCUUUUAAAUCGUCAAAAAUAGA
rnacentral:lncRNA from 1 species